rnacentral:rRNA from 1 species
AUGGCAUAUUCCCCCGAGCUACUUCCUGAUGACGAUGCUUGGAGCAACGACAUGUACAAGGCUGCCAAGAAAGACGCCGAGCGUGUCCUCUCCGGCUACGUCACCAAGCCAACACCUGAGCUGCAAUACCGACACUUGGUCGAGUUGCUGGGUGCGAGAUCAAAGCAUGAGGUGCUCAAGGACGGUGCAAAGCUUGGCGAGCAACUGGCGGAGUCGAUGCUUGGAGAGGAGGUAGGGUGGGAGGCUCUGGCCGAAUUUUGGUGCAAGAUGCCGAUGUACAUUGCUCCAUCGGAUAACCUCGACGGGCACGCGGAGGCGAUCGCCCGGGGCGGCGAGCUGGUAACGCUCCUGUGGGCGCUGCUCACCCAUUUGGGGGUUGUCAGUAGGCCUGAGGCCACCUCCACUACCAAUACUACUACUACCACCACGGGUGCUUCUGAUGUCGUUUAA